AAAUGCAAUCAGUAUGUAUUUGUUACCUCUGACAUAAACUGUAUUAUUAUUUUGAAAUCACAGCUUUUCUUUAGAGCAGUCAUCUUUCUGUCAUCUGAGAAAGCUUAUCUGAAACAGAUGGGAAAUAGCCUCUGGCUUUUCAGAGCUUUGCUUUUUUUUUUUUUUUAAUUUUAUUUCUUAGGUGUAGAACUAAACAGUCUGCUUUUAAUUUGUUAGAAACAAGACGGAAUAGCAUGACUUCUGCGUAUGGCCUGUCCUUAAGUAAGAACUCUUCUUUGGCUGUCCUGAAGCUUUUCAGUCCUCUCUACAGACCACAAUCCAUUUGACACUGUGUUACAUAAACUGCAGACCAUGGAGGGAAGAGGCACAAAAAGGGAAUACUUAUUUCUCUGUGAUAGUUUUCAGCACAUUUGCAGUUGUCAGCAUCUUACCUUCCUUUUAUCCUUUUUUCCCUGGAAAAACCUUUUUGGCAGGUGGGGCAUUUAUCAAAGAACAAGAAAGGCAAUACCCAGACAAUUAGAUCAAUUACAACUAGUUGGACCAGAUUGUAUGUAAAUUAAGUAGUAACACAGUGAAGUAAUAACCUUUCCAAAUGACUGAUAAUAACACUUAAAAAUUCUUGGAACAGCCCUGCUGACUGAAGAGAGGUAAAUCAAACUCAAAAACAGAAGACGACCAGCAUGGCAAAUAGUGUCCAGUCAAUCACAUUUAUUUUCUCAGGAAAAUGUUUCCAUUAAUGCAAAUGUAGGUAUAAUUUAAUAUUGAAAACUUCCAGAAGAGUAAAAAGUAAAUAAAGGACAAACUGUACCAGGAAAAUAUGACCCGCUGAUUUGACAGCAUUACAGAAAUAGUCAGAUUAAGAAAACAUUCCAUUUGAAUGGCCAUUACUUAGGAGUUAUCUGAUUCAUAGUUUGUUUUUGUUUUGUUUUUCUUUCAUAGCAUUUGGGUCAAAAGGGAUCACUGGAAAAUCCAGAGCAUUCUCCUGUUUGCGAAAAGACUUUACAUUUCACCCAAAAGCUGAUGUGUAAAGCCCUUUUUUUUUUUCCCAAUUGCAUUCUCUGUGUUUGGCUGAUGUGUAUCUGGACCAUCUUUCUUACAGGGAAAGGCUGAGACAGCUGCGUCUAUUUAGCCUGGAGAAGAGAAGGCUGAGAGCGGAUCUUAUGAAUGCUUAUAAAUAUCUUCAGAGCGGGUGUCAAGAAGACAGGGCCAGACUCUUCAGGGUUGCACAAUGAUAGGAUAAGGAGCAAUGGUCACAAACUGAAACGCAAGAAGUUGCAUCUGAAUAUGAGGAGAAACUUCUUUAUGUUGAGGAUGGCAUAAGACUGGAACAGAGAGGUUGUGGAAUCUUUGGGCACAGUUCUGUGCAACCUGCUCUAGGUGAACCUGCUUUAGCAGUGGGGGUGGACUAGAUCAUCUGCAGAGGUGCCUUCCAACCCCAACCAUUCUGUGGUUCUGUGAUUCUGAGAUUCUGUAUUCAGAAUUGCAUUCAUUCUUGAGCUGAAGAACAAAGAGAGGGUAAUUCUGUCAACCACCUUGGGAAUUCACCUCAAUGGUUUGUCAUUUUCACUCAAAAAUAUCUUCAGUGAUUUUUUGACUUUGACUUUCAUUGAUGAUGCAACAUAAUUAGAUUUGUAAUAAGGCACUUACUAAAGCAUUUAAUACUGGAAUAAUUUUAUUUAGAAGUGGUUUAGAGAAUCAUUAGAGUUCUUGAUAAACACUGAGAUGUUGAUGUUUGUUAGGAAAGGCUUGUUUCUGCCAUUUAUUUAUUUAUUUAUUUAUUUAUUUAUUGUUUCCAAACAAAUCUUGUAAAAUAUGGUUCAAUGUCUCCUUUUCUUUUCACACCCUCCUUUGAAUGCUAGUCUCAGGAUACACUUCAACAGAUUUCACGAGCCAUUUGCAAAGUGCAAGUCUGAGGCAAUACCUUUGCUCUGUGCUCUAUUUGGACAAGAAUUUAUGAAAAAGAGGGGGAAGGGAAGAGGUGGAAGAUGAGAUGCUGUGCCCAAAAUUGUACAAAUUCACCACACAAGGAUCCGUAUUUUCUUAUUGUGGCUGCUCAGAAUCCAGCUACAUAUCUAUGCUGUUGUGUGCCAGUUACAGAAAGAGAAGUCCAUGAGAUUAUCUGAGCUAUACUGUUUCAAGCAAACAUAAGCUUUUAUGCUAUUCUGUGUCAAAUGUUAUUUGCAGCAUUUGGGAGUUAAGAUGCAUAAUAUGUUAUAUUUCUCAUAUAUCAGAGAAAUUUCUUCUCAUUCAUUUUCUGUACCUAGAUGGCCAAAUCUCUCAGUUUGUUUGAUUGACAAAUCUCUAGAUGUUUCUACGUACCAAUAGAAAAUAUUUUAUAUAAAAUAACGAAGAAAAAACUUCUAUUUUCAGUAUGUGGCAGUUUUUCACCAAAUAUCCAAAAAUAUACCAAAAUGUGUGAAGGAUAAUAAUCCAUUUAGUAUGUGCCAUUGAAGAUUUAUCUUCACUUAUGCUGGACUCUCUUUCACUUCCUUUCUGCAUACAGUCCUGUUUUGUCAUAAAAAAUUAGUAAAACUUGAUAAAAAUAUUGGAGAAUUUUUAUUUUUUUGUGUUUUAACAUCUUUACCUAGAUUUUCAAAGUUUGUUGUUGUUGUUGUUGUUGUUGUUGUUGGGUUGUUUGUUUGUUCAUUGUUUUAUUUUUAUUUUCUUUUCUUUUGGUCCAGAAAAUAUCUCUAAACUCUCCCUAUAUAUUUCUUCUGCUUCUAUAUUCAUUUGCUCCACUUCAAAUCAUUACAGAAUUUUCACUGGUGUUACAUUCAGCAGCAACAGUAGUAACAUCCCUGUUCAGGGUUAUUUCCCUAAGGUUUCCUUUCUAAAAGGAAUUUUGGACUUUCUAUACUACUUAAUAAAGGUUCUUUGAGCAUCAAAUUUAUUCUUCUGGAACAUGGCCAGGAGAAAAUAGGCAUUGGUUUCUUUGAAAAAGAGAUCCAAGUUACUUUUAACAAGCUGAUUUUGAAAGGCAGCCGAUUACAGGUACUUGUAACCCAUUUUUUGCCACAUCCUACUCCAAAGUAUGCUUCAAAUGAAGUCUGUCUGAAAGAUUACAGCAAGGAGAAAUGUGUGAGAUUAAAUGGAUAACACUGAAGCGAACAUUCAAGGCCAAAUUAGGAACAGUUGAAAGGCACAAGUUUCAUAAGGUCACUGAAGUUCCAGUAAUGAGCUUAAAAAACCUGCUAAGAUUAAUGAAAUUUGCCAGACCUCCAGCUAAACUCCUUCUUUCCAGACUACCUAAUAACACCCACACAUUACUGGAGAGCAACACCUCAGAAUAAUUCCACAUGUGUCUCUGGGUAGCAGCUUGGAUCUCAUAAAUCUCCUUGUUUCAGCUGUUUCAGCACUCCUGCUGAAGACCUUAGCGGAUCCAGAAGAACAUGCAAAUUUUCUAAUGUAAGCACAUGACAUUUUCAGCACUGUAAUGACCUCCUGUUUGUCCUCCUACAAGAAUCUCUUCCAGCACAUGGCAGGACUGGUCUGGGACAUUCCUGUUUCAUAGCCCCAAAUCAGGAUAUCAGAAAUAAAACAUGAGGGCCACGCUCCUGACCUACUGCAGCCUACAAUCUGCCCUUCCUUAGCACGCAGUGCCCAUCAUCCCAGCUGUGCCACUGAUAGACUCCCUGCUGGUCCACUUCAGUGAACAGUUUCUGUCUCUUAGUAUAAAUAAUAUGUUCUGAUAUAUAUAGCCGCAAUUGUAAAUUUACCUUGCAAUGCGGUAAACACUUUGUCACAUUAUAAUUUUCCUUGAAAUCUAUCAUGAAUUAACUCUAUUCCUGUGUACUUUGUGAUGUCCCUAAAGACAUUUCAUUCUUAUGGAAAUUCUCUACACAUUUUUAAUAAGAAAAUGUAGGGUUUCCUUUGAAUUGUUUUGUAGCAUCAAUAAUAUGUAUGCCCUUUCCUUCUUAGUGCUAAGCACACAGCCAAGUAAUCAAAACUCCUAUCAAAAGGUCCUGAAGUAACUGCAUGUACUAGUAUUUGUGCUGCUUUGAUUAAAGAUCAGAUCAGUGGGCUAGUGUUCAAAUAAUUUGAUUAUGGUUUCUAGAAAAAAAGUAAUUGCAGUGGAAGCACAAUUAAAAUUUUUGAAGGCAAAAAUCAACAUUAACUUAAUUAUUUGAACAUUUAUAUACCUGAACACAUAGUAACCACUGAAAGUGCUUAUCACCUUGUGGAAUAAAUAAUACUAUCACACUCACUGUAAUAGUGUAAGCUGUCAUUUUCAGGAUGGUUAGUCAGGUAGAUAUAAAUGAACUUUGGAACUUAACUGAUGAAUCUGAGACUACAAUCUUAAAGAAUAUCUUCUAUAACUUUCAUUUUACAUUUCAUGACAUACAUGGCUCCCAUUCCCCUUAGCUCAUGAGCAUAUCUUGUCUCUCAUUUUACCUUCAUUUACUUAUUAACCCCAGUAAACAGAACAGGAACUAAGAAAAAUGUGACAUGCCUUAAAUCACACAGGAACAUUGUAAAAACUGGAAAGCAAAGCUUUGAGUCCACAAUGGUUAAGCAGACAGAAAAAACACAUAUCAUCUGUAUCCAGCAACUAUUCGGUUACUAUCAUAAGCAUAUGGUGACUCAAAGCAGAAUGAAAAGGCAGUGCAGAAAGAUAACACAGGUUGACUAGGCUAAAUGUGAAAGACUGUGUUUG